rnacentral:lncRNA from 1 species
GGGGCGCUAGAGCGCUCCGGGAGGCUAGGGGAGCUGAAUUCUGCGUCUUCCUUUAGGCUGCGGCGAGACAAUCCCCAGAGCCCCGCGGCCCGGCCUCGGGGCAGCCAUGGACUCGCAGGAAUUGAAGACUUUGAUUAAUUACUAUUGUCAAGAGAGAUAUUUCCAUCAUGUAUUACUGGUUGCCAGUGAAGGAAUUAAGAGGUAUGGAAGUGAUCCAGUCUUCAGGUUUUAUCAUGCCUAUGGCACAUUAAUGGAAGGUAAAACUCAAGAAGCUCUUCGAGAAUUUGAGGCUAUUAAAAAUAAACAAGAUGUAUCACUUUGUUCUCUACUUGCACUGAUAUAUGCCCAUAAAAUGAGUCCUAAUCCAGGUAUGAUAUUUAAAUGCAAUGCUUAGGACAUUUUUUCCUAUUCAGUUUAUUUUUAUUUUUCUCAGUUACCAAGUCAUUCAGUCUGAUCACACUAUAUUAUGUAUUUUCUGUAGGUACAAUUUAUACAUAUGUUUAUCUUCCUGACAAGGGUGUAAAUUCAUCAGGCACAAGAAAUGUGUCUUAUACUAUUUUCGUGUUCCUUAUAUCCUCUGGCAGAGGUUUCAUUAGUACAUAGGGAUUUUUUUAGAUAAAAGGGAAUGUAUAUUAGUAAUUGUUACACAAA